AUUGAACGCUGGCGGCAUGCCUUACACAUGCAAGUCGAACGAUGCUUUCGAGCAUAGUGGCGCACGGGUGCGUAACGCGUGGGAAUCUGCCCUUAGGUUCGGAAUAACAGUUAGAAAUGACUGCUAAUACCGGAUGAUGACGUUAAGUCCAAAGAUUUAUCGCCUGAGGAUGAGCCCGCGUAGGAUUAGCUAGUUGGUGUGGUAAGAGCGCACCAAGGCGACGAUCCUUAGCUGGUCUGAGAGGAUGAUCAGCCACACUGGGACUGAGACACGGACCAGACUCCUACGGGAGGCAGCAGUGGGGAAUAUUGGACAAUGGGCGCAAGCCUGAUCCAGCAAUGCCGCGUGAGUGAUGAAGGCCUUAGGGUUGUAAAGCUCUUUUACCCGUGAUGAUAAUGACAGUAGCGGGAGAAUAAGCCCCGGCUAACUCCGUGCCAGCCGCCGCGGUAA
rnacentral:rRNA from 1 species